GUCUUCCUCCAGCAGCACAGACAGUAAAGUUGUACUGAUACAGGGAAGAAUUGCCUGGCCUCUGCACAAUCAUGCACUAAGAUUUGUGAAGUGCAUCAUCUUUGG
rnacentral:snRNA from 1 species